rnacentral:rRNA from 1 species
UACGUAGGGUGCGAGCGUUGUCCGGAUUCACUGGGUGUAAAGGGAGCGCAGGCGGGUUGGCAAGUCAUUGGUGAAAUUCUCAGGCUCAACUUGGGGACUGCCAAUGAUACUGCUGAUCUUGAGUGCGGGAGAGGAAGACGGAAUUCCUGGUGUAGCGGUGAAAUGCGUAGAUAUCAGGAAGAACACCGGUGGCGAAGGCGGUCUUCUGGCCCGUUACUGACGCUCAUGCUCGAAAGCGUGGGGAGCAAACAGG